CUACGGAGGGGGUUAGCGUUGUUCGGAAUUACUGGGCGUAAAGCGUACGUAGGCGGACUGGAAAGUUGGGGGUGAAAUCCCGGGGCUCAACCCCGGAACUGCCUCCAAAACCUCCAAUCUAGAGAUCGAGAGAGGUGAGUGGAAUUCCAAGUGUAGAGGUGAAAUUCGUAGAUAUUUGGAGGAACACCAGUGGCGAAGGCGGCUCACUGGCUCGAUACUGACGCUGAGGUACGAAAGCGUGGGGAGCAAACAGGAUUAGAAACCCCAGUAGUCC
rnacentral:rRNA from 1 species